rnacentral:rRNA from 1 species
UCGACGAUGAAGCCGCUUCGGUGGUGGAUUAGUGGCGAACGGGUGAGUAACACGUGGGCAAUCUGCCCUGCACUUCGGGACAAGCCCUGGAAACGGGGUCUAAUACCGGAUAUGAUCACUGGCCGCAUGGUCUGGUGGUGGAAAGCUCCGGCGGUGCAGGAUGAGCCCGCGGCCUAUCAGCUUGUUGGUGGGGUGAUGGCCUACCAAGGCGACGACGGGUAGCCGGCCUGAGAGGGCGACCGGCCACACUGGGACUGAGACACGGCCCAGACUCCUACGGGAGGCAGCAGUGGGGAAUAUUGCACAAUGGGCGCAAGCCUGAUGCAGCGACGCCGCGUGAGGGAUGACGGCCUUCGGGUUGUAAACCUCUUUCAGCAGGGAAGAAGCGUGAGUGACGGUACCUGCAGAAGAAGCACCGGCUAACUACGUGCCAGCAGCCGCGGUAAUACGUAGGGUGCGAGCGUUGUCCGGAAUUAUUGGGCGUAAAGAGCUCGUAGGCGGCUUGUCGCGUCGGAUGUGAAAGCCCGGGGCUUAACCCCGGGUCUGCAUUCGAUACGGGCAGGCUGGAGUUCGGCAGGGGAGAUUGGAAUUCCUGGUGUAG